CCUACGGGAGGCAGCAGUGGGGAAUAUUGGGCAAUGGGCGCAAGCCUGACCCAGCAACGCCGCGUGAAGGAAGAAGGCCCUCGGGUUGUAAACUUCUUUUGUCAGGGACGAAGAAAGUGACGGUACCUGUCGAAUAAGCCACGGCUAACUACGUGCCAGCAGCCGCGGUAAUACGUAGGUGGCAAGCGUUAUCCGGAUUUACUGGGUGUAAAGGGCGUGUAGGCGGGAUUGCAAGUCAGAGGUGAAAUUCCAGGGCUCAACCCUGGACCUGCAUUUGAAACUGUAGUUCUUGAGUGAUGGUGAGGCAGGCGGAAUGCCGUGUGUAGCGGUGAAAUGCGUAGAUAUACGGAGGAACACCAGUGGCGAAGGCGGCCUACUAGACAUUAACUGACGCUGAGGCGCGAAAGCGUGGGGAGCAAACAGGAUUAGAUACCCCAGUAGUC
rnacentral:rRNA from 1 species